rnacentral:rRNA from 1 species
AGUGAACGCUGGCGGUAGGCCUAACACAUGCAAGUCGAACGGCAGCACAGUAAGAGCUUGCUCUUACGGGUGGCGAGUGGCGGACGGGUGAGGAAUACAUCGGAAUCUACUUUUUCGAGGGGGAUAACGUAGGGAAACUUACGCUAAUACCGCAUACGACCUACGGGUGAAAGCAGGGGAUCUUCGGACCUUGCGCGAUUGAAUGAGCCGAUGUCGGAUUAGCUAGUUGGCGGGGUAAAGGCCCACCAAGUCGACGAUCCGUAGCUGGUCUGAGAGGAUGAUCAGCGACACUGGAACUGAGACACGGUCCAGACUCCUACGGGAGGCAGCAGUGGGGAAUAUUGGACAAUGGGCGCAAGCCUGAUCCAGCCAUACCGCGUGGGUGAAGAAGGCCUUCGGGUUGUAAAGCCCUUUUGUUGGGAAAGAAAAGCAGCAGGUUAAUACCCCGCUGUUCUGACGGUACCCAAAGAAUAAGCACCGGCUAACUCCGUG